rnacentral:rRNA from 1 species
AGUGAACGCUGGCGGCAGGCCUAACACAUGCAAGUCGAGCGGAAGAAGGGUGCUUGCUCCUGGAUUCAGCUGCGGACGGGUGGGUAAUGCCUAGGAAUCUGCCUGUUAGCGGGGGAUAAGGUCCGGAAACGGGGGCUAAUACCGCAUACGUCCAUACGGAGAAAGGGGGGGAUCUUCGGAUCUCACGCUAUCAGGUGAUCCUAGGUCGGAUUAGCUAGUUGGCGGGGUAAAGGCCUACCAAGGCGACGAUCCGUAACUGGUCUGAGAGGAUGAUCAGUCACACUGGAACUGAGACACGGUCCAGACUCCUACGGGAGGCAGCAGUGGGGAAUAUUGGACAAUGGGCGAAAGCCUGAUCCAGCCAUGCCGCGUGUGUGAAGAAGGUCUUCGGAUUGUAAAGCCCUUUAAGUUGGGAGGAAGGGCAGUAAGUUAAUACCUUGCUGUUUUGACGUUACCAAAAGAAUAAGCACCGGCUAACUUCGUG